rnacentral:rRNA from 1 species
UACGAAGGGGGCUAGCGUUGCUCGGAAUCACUGGGCGUAAAGGGUGCGUAGGCGGGUCUUUAAGUCGGGGGUGAAAUCCUGGAGCUCAACUCCAGAACUGCCUUCGAUACUGGCGAUCUUGAGUCUGGGAGAGGUGAGUGGAACUCCGAGUGUAGAGGUGAAAUUCGUAGAUAUUCGGAAGAACACCAGUGGCGAAGGCGGCUCACUGGCCCGGCACUGACGCUGAGGUGCGAAAGCGUGGGGAGCAAACAGG